CAAAGCCCAAACUUUUCCUGCGCGUAUCGUUCAAAUUUAGACACCAGCGCGAACGAAAUUUAAAGCAAAAAAGGAAAUUACUCUUUGCCGGCGGCCAGGAGGAAAGCCGCCGGCAAAGGCCCCAUCCGAAUUAAACCACAGAAAAUAAAAAAAACCUAAUUACUCUUUGCCGGUGGCCACGAGGAAAGACCGCCGGCAAAGCCACCAUCCGAAUUUAACCAUACAAAAUAAGAAAACUAAAUUGCUCUUAGCCGACGACCUCGAUAAAUAGCCGCCGGCAAAGGUUGCAUUGCCGAAGGCGCAUACAAUAGCCGCCGGCAAAGAUUUUUUUUCCUUUUUUUGUUUGUUUGUGAUGUAAAUCAACCAUAUUGUAAACACAUAGAGCAAUAUAUAUUGUUGUUUAGACUGAACCCAAUUUGCACUUAUAAAAUUUAGUUUCCAAAAUCCUAAAUUUGCAUGGCCGGGAGUUAAUUAGUUACGACCGGUUCAUCGACGCAUGAAAUGACGAAACAAAUGGUUUCCCCGCUUUCCCCUUGUGCAUGGUGUGCCAUGUAUAUGUAAAUGAAGGGUGUGUUAAUGGUAAAAUCAAAUAUAGCCCUGAUGUGACACUUCCUUUGCAAACAAUACUAGCGAAUGUGCAUGAAUGUUCCGCACCUGAGGGGAAAAGUCUCAAUUAUUCAGACCGACGGGACAUAAUUUAGUCGGUCCAUGGGGUAGAUGUUUGCCUUUUCAUGUUGAUAUGUCCUAAUACAACACUAUGAUAUAGUAAAGUGACAUGAAAACCCAUGUUUUGGUGAAAAGCUAGUAACAAAGCACUAAGGAACAGUAAAACCCAAGCCCUAGUGACGAAAACACGCA
rnacentral:lncRNA from 1 species